CAGCCGCCGCGGGAAUACGAAGGGGGCUAGCGUUGCUCGGAAUGACUGGGCGUAAAGGGCGCGUAGGCGGUUUGCACAGUCGGGUGUGAAAUUCCUGGGCUUAACCUGGGGGCUGCAUUCGAGACGUGUAGGCUUGAGUGGGGAAGAGGGUCGUGGAAUUCCCAGUGUAGAGGUGAAAUUCGUAGAUAUUGGGAAGAACACCGGUGGCGAAGGCGGCGACCUGGUCCUUUACUGACGCUGAGGCGCGAAGGCGUGGGGAGCAAACAGGAUUAGAUACCCCUGUAGUCCCUGUCUCUUAUAC
rnacentral:rRNA from 1 species